CUAUUGCUCAAGAAAUUAUAAGGAUUUUAGGAGUUUUAUGUAGGAAAUGAGGGCAGAAACCAAAUAUAUAUCUUGUAUUAUGUCACAGAUAGCAUAAUAUUUUCCUCAUCUUUGUCAAAAUGGGACUCGGCAAGUAUGAGAACAGGUGUUUCAAUUAUGGUCUCAUCCAGCAUUCUUGGUUCUUGAUGGACAAUUGUACAUAAUAUCUUUAUUUGUUUUCUUUUUCUCUUGCAAUCUAGUUCUCAGCAGGAAAUUUACUGAGCUGCCAACUUGUGAUCAUCUAAUUGACUCAGAAAGAAUCUGAAUGAGUUUCUAAAUAUCCAACUGAAAUCAAUUGUGACUCUCUUUAUUUUAGGCUCCAGGCAGAUUGAAAUUGAGACAAUAAACGGAAGCACCGCAUUCUGAAAGAAUGAGAGUUGGCAACCUAGCAGCAAACAUCACAUAUGUAUGCUCAUAUACACCCAUGGAGAAAUUUAACCAAAGAUAUGAGAUGCUAUUUAGUACUCUUGCAAAGACAUGAACAUUUUUCUUGAAAUACAGUGGACAUAAAAAAUUCUGGAGGGUAAGUAGACUUGUAGACUCAAACUACAUCUGAAUGGCAUCCACUCAUUCAACAAAUAUUUACCAGUAUCUCCUGUAUAGUAGGCACUGGAAAUACAAGAUACAAAAAUUUUUGCCCUAAUCAUAAUGAACUUUCAGUAGAAAGCAUUAAAACUUUUAAGAGAUGAUUUUAGUAUGGUGCAUCAGAGAACCAAAUAGUUACUUCUAUGCUGGUACAGCUGAAGGCUUCCAAAACAUG
rnacentral:lncRNA from 1 species